UGAUAGCUCGCUGUCUACCCACAAUGUUUGAAGCUUUCCUCAAACUAACCAGUUUGGUGCUCUUUGUCACAGGUUCCUCAAAUGGAAAGACUGUUCAGCAAACGCCUCUUGGCCUCAUCAAGAGUAAAGGAGAAUUGGCAGAAAUUGAAUGUUCCCAUGAUAUUCAAGGCCAUGAUCGCAUUCUGUGGUACAAACAAACUCACAGCAAGGAACUCACCUUCAUGGGAUAUCUAGUGUCUGAUUUCGGAAGUACUGAACAAGAAUUUAAAGACAAAAUCAUAAUUAGUGGAAAAGCAAACAAGUUUUACAGCUCUCUUAACUUCACAGACAUUACACCAGAGACUGGUGGAGUUUAUUUCUGUGCAGCGUAUUACACAACAGCGCAAAUCUUCUUUCUUCACUACAAAAACUUAAUAUCAUUUCUCGCCAUCUCUUCUGAGCUCUGCGUUAUCCACAACAGCUGAGUUUUCCCUCACGUCUAAAGGCUAUGAGCAGUCACUGUUCACUUUACUGUUACUUUGUCAA